rnacentral:rRNA from 1 species
AAGUCGAGCGAACGGAUGAGAAGCUUGCUUCUCUGAUGUUAGCGGCGGACGGGUGAGUAACACGUGGAUAACCUACCUAUAAGACUGGGAUAACUUCGGGAAACCGGAGCUAAUACCGGAUAAUAUUUUGAACCGCAUGGUUCAAAAGUGAAAGACGGUCUUGCUGUCACUUAUAGAUGGAUCCGCGCUGCAUUAGCUAGUUGGUAAGGUAACGGCUUACCAAGGCAACGAUGCAUAGCCGACCUGAGAGGGUGAUCGGCCACACUGGAACUGAGACACGGUCCAGACUCCUACGGGAGGCAGAAGUAGGGAAUCUUCCGCAAUGGGCGAAAGCCUGACGGAGCAACGCCGCGUGAGUGAUGAAGGUCUUCGGAUCGUAAAACUCUGUUAUUAGGGAAGAACAUAUGCGUAAGUAACUGUGCACAUCUUGACGGUACCUAAUCAGAAAGCCACGGCUAACUACGUGCCAGCAGCCGCGGUAAUACGUAGGUGGCAAGCGUUAUCCGGAAUUAUUGGGCGUAAAGCGCGCGUAGGCGGUUUUUUAAGUCUGAUGUGAAAGCCCACGGCUCAACCGUGGAGGGUCAUUGGAAACUGGAAAACUUGAGUGCAGAAGAGGAAAGUGGAAUUCCAUGUGUAGCGGUGAAAUGCGCAGAGAUAUGGAGGAACACCAGUGGCGAAGGCGACUUUCUGGUCUGUAACUGACGCUGAUGUGCGAAAGCGUGGGGAUCAAACAGGAUUA